UUUACUCAUGGAUAGGAUUUACCAACAAUAAAGUUGCAUUCCCGCUCUAAUGGAGACAAAAUACAUAAACACUACAUAAGUGCAUUCCUAUAUCAUGAGUAAAUUCAUUUCCUAUUUCUUGUUUAUUCUAUAGAUUGUAUGCAACUCCAGCUUUGAAGCUACUCUAUUAGCUGUAUUUACAUGAGAGAAAACAAGACGGAACAAAACAGGCUAUUGGCUGACUAACAAUACAUAUAUAUUUGUGAGAUUCAUUUGAAAUUGUCCCUGUAACUGCUUCUUCGAUUUGAAACGAUCGUAAUUCUCUGAUCUUGAAGCAUGUUCAAGUUGGGGGCCAACAACCGAGUAUACCGAUCAAAAUAGAGAAGCUGUUUCAUAAGAAGGGCAAACUCCCUAGGAAAUCUGAGUCCAUAUGCUUCACUGACACGAAUCACAUCAAGAAAAAGUGCAUUCAUUUGCCUCUCAUCAACAACUACAUUGGCAGAAACAGCAGUUGCAUUUGUAGUAGUAUCUCGUGCUGUUGCAACAACUAUUUCCGUAUCCAAUUCCUGUAUUGAUGAAAAUAUCUUUUCCAAGUCUCUUGCAAAGGCAUUAACAUCAACAUCCUUGUUUGUAGCUCCCAUUUCAAUCAAGGCAGAUGCCAUUGACUCAUAUUCUUCAGAUGCAAGUGAUGCCAGAAACACUUCCAUAGCAGCCCAGGUUUUUGGGGAUAUGCGUCCUACAAUUCCAAAAUCUAGAAAGCCAAUACGACCAUCACGUAAUAACCACAAAUUGCCUGCAUGCACAUCUGCAUGGAAACUUUCACAUGCAAGCAAACUACCAAACCACACAUUAAGGGCUGUUAUAAGACUGGUCUCUGGACUAGAAACAAUUGAACUUAUAGAAUCCAGGUCCGUAAGAGGCACUCCAUAAAGACGUUCCAUGGUCAAAACUCGUCGGCUGCUGCAAUGCUUAUAGACUUUUGGAGCGGUAGCCUGCCUUGUAAGUCCCAUAGCUUCUAAAUAUCUCCUAAAGGACUCAAUAUUUGCAGCUUCCUUAUAAAAAUCAACUUCUUCAAGCAUGGAUUCCCUUAUUUCUUUAACAAUAGCAACCAGUGAUGCACGGCUGAGAUCAGGACUCAAGAACUCCAAUAUGCGAGCAACAAUGUAAACAAAGUUCAAAUCUGCCACUAGUAUAUUUUCUAUUCCAGGUUUGAGGACCUUUAUAACCACAUCUUCUUGGGAGCCUUUGAGCCUCGCCCCAUGAACCUGUGCUAUUGAGGCUGAGGCAAUUGGCAUCGGGUCAACAUAUUCAUACACACUUUCUAUUGGCCUUCCUAAUUCUUGGCGUAAGAUUGCUUGAAUUUCUUGGAAAGGCACGGCAGGAGCUCUAUCAAAACAGUUUUGAAAUUCUUCAACAUAUUCUGGUGGGAACAUUGUUGGCGCAGAUGCAACGAACUGACCUAAUUUAAUAUAAGUUGCUCCCAUACGCUCAAAUAAUCUCCUCAAAUACAGUGGAGAAAGUAAUCCAACUUGCAUUUGGGUUGGCAAUCCAGUAGAUGAAUUUGUUGACUUGGAUACAUCUCCCAGCCACUCGCCACCAACUCCAAGAAAAGCUUGAAUGCCUUGUGCCAGCCUUAGGGCUCCACGAGGACCAGUAUUAAUAGAUGUCUGGAUAAUAUCCUCCACCAGCUGGGGCAAGUUUCCAAUACUAUCCUGAAGGCGAGAAGAGAAACGAUCCUGUGCUUGAGAAUAUUGGGCAAAAAGGGUAAUUGCCUUUGAGCGAAAAUUGAGCUUCUUCGAUCUACUGCUUGCAACAGACAACUGAGGACGGGGAUAAGGAUUAAACAAUGAGAAACGACCACCUCGCAACGAUGAAAGUGAAAACAUCGCCAUUUCUUUCUUCUUGCGUGCGUUGCAGAAAUGGAACGAUGAUUUAC
rnacentral:misc_RNA from 1 species